AAGUGUAGCUUAUGUUACCUACCCCAUGAUGGUAUGGUUUAGGGUCAUUUUAUAAUUUCUGUUCACAUUGUCAGGAAAUCAGACAGUAAAGCUAUGAAGUGAAAACAGAGAACCUGUAAUCCCAGCUACCAGGCAGGCUGAGACAGGAAGAUGGUGACAACAUACAGAGACCCCAUCUCAGAAGAAAAGCAGCCCUCUGAUUCACGCGUAUAUACGUAUAAUCAGUUCUGCCACUCAGAAAGCAGUCACUGCCCUUUACAUUUCAGAGAGCAUGUACAUUUUUUUAUCAUAACAAAUAACACUGAGAGAGAGGUCAUCCAGAGAGAAGCACUGUUAUUCCCAACUUAUGAAUGUGAAGACAAAUGUUGGCUGAAUGACUCAACAAAUACCUAAGUAAGUGGUAAUACUUGCAUAAAACCCAGUCCUGUUGAUAUGGUUAUCCUUCACUGUGCCAUCACUACCUCCAGGGAAAAGGGGUCUUGAAGAUAAGACUUAAUGCCAACCUUUAAGAGUUUAGUGUGUUAGUGUAAUUUUCUGGCAUCUCUGCAGGCAGUUCCUGGUGCUGAGGAACUUAUGAGGGCUCGGUCUCUUUCACAACAAAGUUGCAAUGGAGACAACAUUUUGUGGCCCUUAAGAGGUUGGUUGU
rnacentral:lncRNA from 1 species